GCAACCUGGUUGAUCCUGCCAGUAGUCAUAUGCUUGUCUCAAAGACUAAGCCAUGCAUGUCUGAGUAUAAAUGCUAUACAGUUAAACUGCGAAUGGCUCAUUAAAACAGUAAUAGUUUACUUGGUAAUCGAAUUUACAUGGAUAACCGUGGUAAUUCUAGAGCUAAUACAUGCUGUUAAGCCUGACUUUACGGA
rnacentral:rRNA from 1 species